GGAACAUCAACUUUGCUUACCUUUUGGCCCAGCAGUACACUGUUACGGACUUAUUUUAAGGCUAAAGUAGUCAAGUGCACAGAGUUAUGCAGACCUUCUAUAAUAACGAAAAAGGAGUACACAAUCUUGAACACAAGGAGGGUCUGGGGCAAGAUUUCAGAGCAAGCAGAGUGAAUGUGAAUACUAACUUCAACUAGGAGCAGAAGUCACACAUGGGAGACAAACCAGGGGUGAUGGGAACGCCACAGCUUGACACGCAGAAUCCCACCAAGUCCAAAUGAGCCCUGGUUUGAAGCUGGCUGCCUCCUGUGCUUACGAAAUGGGCUGUAAGAGAAGACAGAGCAAGAAAAGCAGCAUUUGGAGCUGGGCACGGUGGCUCACGCCUAUAAUCCCUGCAUUUUGGAGGGCCAAAGCUGGAGGACUGCUUGAGGCUGAAUGUUCGAGAACAGGCUGGGCAACAGAACGAGACACCAUCUCUACAAAAAAAUUUAAAAUUAGCUGGGCAUGAUAACAGGCCCUGUAGUCCUAGCUACUUGGGAGGCUGGGGCAGGAGGACUGCUUCAGCCCAAGAAUUUGAGGUUUCAGGGAGCUGUGAUUGCACCACUGCACUCUAGCCUGGGUGACAGUGUGAGACCCUGUCCCUCUCUCACCAAAAAAGGGGUUUGGCUUGGACAAUAGAUCAUAUUGUCACCCUAUUAAUAACUAACUUACUGAGUGCUUCAUAUGAGCCAAACACUGCAUCAGUUGUCCACAGCCUAUGCUAUACUGCCUUACCAAAGAGAGGAAGGUGUCAACUGUAUCCUUGGGGUAAACAAAAGUGGCAAUGUUUGUUGACCACGCAUAGGAACAAAAACAUUAAAACAAAUAGCUUUCCCAUUCUAUGAAGCUAGCACAGCAUUUUGGAAUGAUUCUAAAAAUAACACCAAAAAAUACAAAUGUUUGGUAAACAUAGUUAUCACCUGAAUUCUCUGAAUAUUUUGUCAUGAGCUUAAGUUGUAAGCAUGUAAUCUCAUAAACUUGCUAAGUAUUCUCUAACAUUUCACAAUCUCACUAGUCUAAUUUAAAUAACAUUACAUUAAAAGUUUGGUAUCAAAUUAUUACAGAGCUAAGUCACUGUGAUAAAAUACCUUUUUUACUUAUGACCAUUGAGAAAAUGUACUGUGGUGAGAAGCUGCAUAUAUAUUAACAGGUAAGACAAUCUCUGGUACAAGUCCUUGUUAUGGUGGUAAUUCAACUCAUCCUGAAGCAGA
rnacentral:lncRNA from 10 species